rnacentral:rRNA from 1 species
UUGCACGCUGGCGGCAGGCCUAACACAUGCAGGUCGAGCGGAUGAAGGGAGCUUGCUCCUGGAUUCAGCGGCGGACGGGUGAGUAAUGCCUAGGAAUCUGCCUGGUAGUGGGGGAUAACGUCCGGAAACGGGCGCUAAUACCGCAUACGUCCUGAGGGAGAAAGUGGGGGAUCUUCGGACCUCACGCUAUCAGAUGAGCCUAGGUCGGAUUAGCUAGUUGGUGGGGUAAAGGCCUACCAAGGCGACGAUCCGUAACUGGUCUGAGAGGAUGAUCAGUCACACUGGAACUGAGACACGGUCCAGACUCCUACGGGAGGCAGCAGUGGGGAAUAUUGGACAAUGGGCGAAAGCCUGAUCCAGCCAUGCCGCGUGUGUGAAGAAGGUCUUCGGAUUGUAAAGCACUUUAAGUUGGGAGGAAGGGCAGUAAGUUAAUACCUUGCUGUUUUGACGUUACCAACAGAAUAAGCACCGGCUAACUUCGUG